rnacentral:rRNA from 1 species
GACGAACGCUGGCGGCGUGCCUAAUACAUGCAAGUUGAGCGCUGAAGGUUGGUACUUGUACCAACUGGAUGAGCAGCGAACGGGUGAGUAACGCGUGGGGAAUCUGCCUUUGAGCGGGGGACAACAUUUGGAAACGAAUGCUAAUACCGCAUAAAAACUUUAAACACAAGUUUUAAGUUUGAAAGAUGCAAUUGCAUCACUCAAAGAUGAUCCCGCGUUGUAUUAGCUAGUUGGUGAGGUAAAGGCUCACCAAGGCGAUGAUACAUAGCCGACCUGAGAGGGUGAGCGGCCACAUUGGGAAUGAGAAACGGCCCAAACUCCUACGGGAGGCAGCAGUAGGGAAUCUUCGGCAAUGGACGAAAGUCUGAACGAGCAACGCCGCGGGAGGGAAGAAGGGUUUCGGAUCGGAAAACUCUGUUGGUAGAGAAGAACGUUGGUGAGAGUGGAAAGCUCAUCAAGUGACGGUAACUACCCAGAAAGGGACGGCUAACUACGUG